rnacentral:tRNA from 1 species
GGGCGAAUGGCGGAAUUGGUAGACGCGCUAGCUUCAGGAGCUAGUGAGCGCAAGCUCAUGGAGGUUCAAGUCCUCUUUCGCCCACCA